rnacentral:rRNA from 1 species
GCCGCGUGUGUGACGAAGGCCUUAGGGUCGUAAAGCUCUGUCAAGUGGAAAGAACCUGUUAGACCUUAAUACGGUUUAGCACUGACGGUACCACUGAAGGAAGCACCGGCUAACUCCGUGCCAGCAGCCGCGGUAAUAAUCGAAUUCCCGCGGCC